ACACUUAGUGUGUGUCUGGUCGAUGUUAAACACAGGGGGCGACCAGGUUUCUCCAUCAAACCCCAAAUCUCCCAAAAUUCAUAAAUUGAAGCCUCUAAUCUGCUCCAAAUCAAGUUUCAAGCAUGAAUUAGUGAUCAUCUCGUUGCGGGGAUCAAAAGUUUGACGCGUAACAAGCUAGGUGGAAGCUUGAUGAGGGAGCGGGUCAAACGAAUCAAGAAGGAAAGGAAAAAGCAUAGUUCGGACACGAGGUAAGUAUAUCUUACACUAGUCAUAUAUUUCAUAAUAUCCUUUUGUCGUAUUACGAAAAAGAUAAUUUAUGACGUAAGCCAUAGUAGGCUAAAAAGUGUUAAGAAAUGGAAUUAUAAGCAAGUGACCGCACGGUGUAAAUCGGAGCGAGUCAUAUAUACAUUUACGAGGUGGUAAUAAAUAUCAUCUCGCUAAUAUAAUCGGUCAAUUCGGCCAAACGGGUCAAAAGGUGAAAUUAUCACCCUUUGACAAUAUCGACUAAUGGGUUGUCAAGAUGCAUGAUUUUAGGAAAUAUAUAGCACAUGGAUGCUUACAUCGCUAUCGCUUAGCAGCCACUAAGGAAAUGUAUUGAAACGGGUCAAUAUAUUGAUCCGAGCCAGGUGAAGAUGGGAUAAGCAGUUUGAAAGAUACGAAAGUUUUCGUGCAAAUAAACGGCAAAAUAGGAAAGCUGGAAUGCAGGGGCCACCGUAACUUACGGUGCCGCUGAAGGCUUUACGGCAGCCCCCUACUGAUUUACGGUUCUUUUUGGAUGCCGGAAGACGAUCAAGCUCAUCGAAGGACCGAACACGAUAAAGAUACAUGCUUCCGCACAUUUCCUCGUCGUAAAUUUUUAAACGACAAAUUCGAUCACUUAUGUUGAGUAACUUAUGAUUUGUAAAAGUUUUAAUAAACUCGU